rnacentral:rRNA from 3 species
AUACAAAAUGACUCUCGGCAACGGAUAUCUCGGCUCUUGCAUCGAUGAAGAACGUAGCGAAAUGCGAUACUUGGUGUGAAUUGCAGAAUCCCGUGAACCAUCGAGUCUUUGAACGCAAGUUGCGCCCGAAGCCAUUAGGUGGAGGGCACGCCUGCCUGGGUGUCACAC